GCCCCCGUAGCUCAGGUGGACAGAGCGGCAGCGUCCUAAGCUGCGCGUCCCAGGUUCGAGUCCUGGCGGGGGCGCCA
rnacentral:tRNA from 1 species